rnacentral:misc_RNA from 1 species
GCUUCACAUCCCAAACUGACUUCCCAGUGAACAUCUCAUAAACUAUGCACCCAAGAGCCCAAAUAUCAGAGGGAGGCUCCUGAAUAUGAUCAACCACAGUCUCUGGUGCCAUAUACGAAGUAGUCCCUCCCAAAUAAGAGAACAACUUCCUCUUCUUGCUCUUUUCAAUUUUCUUGGCCAACCCAAAAUCCCCUAUCUUUGGCACAAAUUCAUCACUCUUGGUGGACACAAGCAGCACGUUUGCAGGCUUCAAAUCGCAAUGCACAUAACCAAGGCUAUGA